rnacentral:tmRNA from 1 species
GGGGGUGAUCGGUUUCGACGGUGAUCGUCGAGCCAGGUGAAGCGGGUCGAGGAUGCACGGUUAUCUCGUAAACGCUCCGUGCAACUCAUAGGUGCCGAUUCCAAGCGCACCGACUUCGCCCUCGCCGCCUGAGCGAGGCUUCGAAGUCCGUCGGCCUAGACACGCUCUCGGUCUAGUUCCCGGCGUCAUCUAGAGAGCCACUGCUGUCCGUCCUCGUCGGUGGGGCGGGCGGGACUCUUAGCCGACUGAGCCCGUCCACGUCUUGUCCGCGUGAUCGUGGGGGCUGAGAAAAUCUACUGCGGACUGCACCCGGAGAAGCCCUGGUCCCACGUCAUCGGACGCGGGUUCGAUUCCCGCCACCUCCACGU